AGAGAAUUAUUGCGAAUCUGAUCCGAAGGGCAACCGAAUGCCUUCAGUCUCUCUGGGGCGUUGCAUCGAGGUCUACCGAUGGUUGAGUUGGAGAUUAGAUAUUUACCCAGGCACUGCACCACGAGCAGGAGAAGUUGGCUUGCAAACAGUCCCCACAUGUAGUCUGAGAAACACAGAGCUUCAAGAUAUUCAUUUCCACAUUUUGGGAAUCUCCCAAUUCGCGACACAGAAGAAUCACGAAGAGUAUCGCUUUAAGGAGUCUCAUCUUCACGAUCAGCAUUCAACAUUGAUCCUUCGAAGAAAAUCGAUCCAUCUUCGGACUUGUGAUUAUUGUAAAUUUGAACGUAACUCGUGGAAUCGGCACCGUACGGUACCUGAACGCGACUGUUCUUGCUAUUUGCGCUAUGAUAACGACGUGCGUCCUCGUCGUUCGAGUUUGGAAAAAAA